rnacentral:rRNA from 1 species
UACGAAGGGGGCUAGCGUUGUUCGGAAUACUGGGCGUAAAGCGCGCGCAGGCGGUCUUCCAAGUCAGUGGUGAAAGCCUGGAGCUCAACUCCAGAACUGCCAUUGAAACUGUUAGACUUGAGUACGAGAGAGGUGAGUGGAAUUCCCAGUGUAGAGGUGAAAUUCGUAGAUAUUGGGAAGAACACCAGUGGCGAAGGCGGCUCACUGGCUCGUAACUACGCUCAGGCGCGACAGCCGUGGGGAUCAAACAGG